UACGUAGGGUGCAAGCGUUAAUCGGAAUUACUGGGCGUAAAGCGUGCGCAGGCGGUUUUGUAAGUCUGUCGUGAAAUCCCCGGGCUCAACCUGGGAAUGGCGAUGGAGACUGCAAGGCUAGAGUUUGGCAGAGGGGGGUAGAAUUCCACGUGUAGCAGUGAAAUGCGUAGAUAUGUGGAGGAACACCGAUGGCGAAGGCAGCCCCCUGGGUCAAAACUGACGCUCAUGCACGAAAGCGUGGGUAGCAAACAGG
rnacentral:rRNA from 1 species